GAUGAACGCUGGCGGCGUGCCUAAUACAUGCAAGUCGAGCGAACGGACGAGAAGCUUGCUUCUCUGAUGUUAGCGGCGGACGGGUGAGUAACACGUGGAGAACCUACCUAUAAGACUGGGAUAACUUCGGGAAACCGGAGCUAAUACCGGAUAAUAUUUUGAACCGCAUGGUUCAAAAGUGAAAGACGGUCUUGCUGUCACUUAUAGAUGGAUCCGCGCUGCAUUAGCUAGUUGGUAAGGUAACGGCUUACCAAGGCAACGAUGCAUAGCCGACCUGAGAGGGUGAACGGCCACACUGGAACUGAGACACGGUCCAGACUCCUACGGGGGGCAGCAGUAGGGAAUCUUCCGCAAUGGGCGAAAGCCUGACGGAGCAACGCCGCGCGAGUGAUGAAGGUCUUCGGAUCGUAAAACUCUGUUAUUAGGGAAGAACAUAUGUGUAAGUAACUGUGCACAUAUUGACGGUACCUAAUCAGAAAGCCACGGCUAACUCCGUG
rnacentral:rRNA from 1 species